CGGAUUAGAGCCAGGUUGGUUAGGCGCCUCAUUUGGGGUGGGGUUUAGUUAUGUUCGAACCAUAAUAAUCCGA
rnacentral:tRNA from 1 species